rnacentral:rRNA from 1 species
CAGCAGCCGCCACGGUAAUACGUAGGGUGCAAGCGUUAUUCGGAAUUACUGGGCGUAAAGCGUGCGCAGGCGGUUAUAUAAGACAGAUGUGAAAUCCCCGGGCUCAACCUGGGAACUGCAUUUGUGACUGUAUAGCUAGAGUACGGCAGAGGGGGAUGGAAUUCCGCGUGUAGCAGUGAAAUGCGUAGAUAUGCGGAGGAACACAGAUGGCGAAGGCAAUCCCCUGGGCCUGUACUGACGCUCAUGCACGAAAGCGUGGGGAGCAAACAGGAUUAGAUACCCCCGUAGUCCCUGUCUCUUAUAC